rnacentral:tRNA from 1 species
UAAAGCGAAUUAGCUCAUUUACGCUGAGAUUCUCCUUCUUAGGCGUUUUAU